UGGGGAAUCUUCCGCAAUGGACGAAAGUCUGACGGAGCAACGCCGCGUGAGUGAAGAAGGUUUUCGGAUCGUAAAACUCUGUCUUUUGGGGCGAACGUGAGUAUGGUGAACAAUCAUAGUCAGUGACGGUACCAAAGGAGGAAGCCACGGCUAACUACGUGCCAGCAGCCGCGGUAAUACGUAGGUGGCAAGCGUUGUCCGGAAUUAUUGGGCGUAAAGAGCGCGUAGGCGGGAUAGUCAGUCUGUUGUAAAGUGCGGGGCUCAACCCCGUGAUCGCAAUGGAAACAGCUAUUCUUGAGUGCAGGAGAGGAAAGUGGAAUUCCCAGUGUAGCGGUGAAAUGCGUAGAUAUUGGGAGGAACACCAGUGGCGAAGGCGACUUUCUGGACUGUGUCUGACGCUGAGGCGCGAAAGCCAGGGGAGCGAACGGGAUUAGAUACCCCGGUAGUCCUGGCCGUAAACGAUGGGUACUAGGUGUGGGAGGUAUCGACCCCUUCCGUGCCGGAGUUAACGCAAUAAGUACCCCGCCUGGGGAGUACGGUCGCAAGACUGAGACUCAAAGGAAUUGACGGGGUCAUAGCUGUUUCCU
rnacentral:rRNA from 1 species